GCGGGUGUGGUGGAACUGGCAGACACGCUAGAUUUAGGAUCUAGUGCCUUCAGGGCGUGGGGGUUCGACUCCCUUCACCCGCA
rnacentral:tRNA from 1 species